rfam:Schistosoma rodhaini strain Burundi genome assembly, scaffold: SROB_scaffold0006268
AUCUAGCUGACGAGUCCAAAAUAGGACGAAACGCGCGUCCUGGAU